AUGGCGAUGCUUCGUGAUGUUUGGAUGCCAAGCAGCCAAUGCUAUUUCACAGGGCCACUUUGGCCGUCUUUUGAGGCGGAAAAAUUUGAGCUUAAGUCUGGUCUUAUUGCUUUGGUUCAACAACAUCAGUUUGGAGGAUUGCCUACUGAGGAUCCCUAUGAGCACUUACACCGAAUCAUGGAGUAUUUAGGUACAGUCAAGUACCAUGGAGUUCCUCGAGAUGCUAUCAAGUGCAUGCUGUUCACAUUCUCUCUCCGAGAUGAUGCUCGUGCUUGGUAUCGAUCCUUGCCAUCAAGAUCAUUCAAUUGGAACGAGAUAUCAUGA
rnacentral:rRNA from 1 species